rnacentral:misc_RNA from 1 species
GAUGAAGAACGUAGCGAAAUGCGAUACUUGGUGUGAAUUGCAGAAUCCCGUGAACCAUCGAGUCUUUGAACGCAAGUUGCGCCCGAAGCCACUAGGCCGAGGGCACGCCUGCCUGGGCGUCACACGCCGUUGCCCCCCCAUCUACUCCUUCGGGAUUGCGGGGGGGCGGAUGAUGGCCUCCCGUGCGCCUAGCCGCGCGGUUGGCAUAAAUACCAAGUCCUCGGCGACGCACGCCACGACAAUCGGUGGUUGCGAAACCUCGGUUGCCCGUCGUGUGCGUUCGUCGCGAAUCGAGGGCUCGAAAAAAUGCUCGGCUCCGGCUGGGCUUUCAACGCGACCCCAGGUCAGGCGGGGUUACCCGCUGAAUUUAAGCAUAUCAAUAAGCGGAGGA